CAAAUGAAUUGACGGGGGCCCGCACAAGCGGUGGAGCAUGUGGUUUAAUUCGAUGCAACGCGAAGAACCUUACCUGGUCUUGACAUCCACAGAACUUUCCAGAGAUGGAUUGGUGCCUUCGGGAACUGUGAGACAGGUGCUGCAUGGCUGUCGUCAGCUCGUGUUGUGAAAUGUUGGGUUAAGUCCCGCAACGAGCGCAACCCUUAUCCUUUGUUGCCAGCGGUCCGGCCGGGAACUCAAAGGAGACUGCCAGUGAUAAACUGGAGGAAGGUGGGGAUGACGUCAAGUCAUCAUGGCCCUUACGACCAGGGCUACACACGUGCUACAAUGGCGCAUACAAAGAGAAGCGACCUCGCGAGAGCAAGCGGACCUCAUAAAGUGCGUCGUAGUCCGGAUUGGAGUCUGCAACUCGACUCCAUGAAGUCGGAAUCGCUAGUAAUCGUGGAUCAGAAUGCCACGGUGAAUACGUUCCCGGGCCUUGUACACACCGCCCGUCACACCAUGGGAGUGGGUUGCAAAAGAAGUAGGUAGCUUAACCUUCGGGAGGGCGCUUACCACUUUGUGA
rnacentral:rRNA from 1 species